rnacentral:rRNA from 1 species
GCUUGUCUCAAAGAUUAAGCCAUGCAUGUCUAAGUAUAACUCUUUUACUUUGAAAACUGCGAACGGCUCAUUAUAUCAGUUAUAGUUUCUUUGAUAGUCCCUUACUACUUGGAUACCCGUAGUAAUUCUAGAGCUAAUACAUGCUAUAUGCCCGGCUUCUGGCAGGGCUGUAUUUAUUAGAUACUAAACCAGUGUCGCAAGACAUUGUGGUGAAUCACAGUAACUGAUCGAAUCGGCGCGCAAGCGGCGAUAAAUCAUUCAAGUUUCUGCCCUAUCAGCUUUCGAUGGUAGUGUAUUGGACUACCAUGGCAGUCACGGGUAACGGAGAAUUAGGGUUCGGUUCCGGAGAGGGAGCCUGAGAAACGGCUACCACAUCUAAGGAAGGCAGCAGG